rnacentral:rRNA from 1 species
AUGAUGCAGGGGAGCAGGAGGGCCAAGGGCAAGAGGGAGAUGGCCCGGGAGGAGCAGCCGCAGCAGCAGCACAGCCCCAAGGGCCAAGCAUGGUUCUGCACCACGGGGCUGCCCAGCGACGUCGUGAUCGAGGUGGGCGACAUGACCUUCCAUCUCCACAAGUUCCCGCUAAUGUCCAAGAGCAAGAAGAUCCACGACCUGAUUAUGAACAAGGAGUCGAGCCUGGCGAGGCAUGCCGGGGGAGGGGAGGAGGAAGGGGAGGAUGAGGGGGCAGGGGAGAUCAGGGAGGAGCAGGUGGUGCUGGAGGCGGACGAAGAGGCCGACGCGCACCGCAUCCGCCUCCCGGACUUCCCCGGCGGCGCCGACGCGUUCGAGCUGGCCGCCAAGUUCUGCUACGGCGUCAAGCUCGACCUCACGCCGGCCACCGCCGCGCCGCUGCGCUGCGCCGCCGAGCGCCUCGGCAUGUCCGACGACCACGCCGAGGACAACCUCGUUUCCCGCGCAGACCGCUUCAUGUCGCACACCGUGCUCCGGAACCCCAGGGACGCCAUCCGCGCGCUCAAGUCCUGCGAGGACCUCCUCCCCCUCGCCGACGACCUCGGCCUCGUGUCCCGCUGCGUCGACGCCAUUGCGGCCAAGGCCGCCGCGUCCACGCCCACCGCGCUCUUCGGCUGGCCCAUCAAUGACGCGGGAGCCGGCGACCGGCCCCGUCACAAGAAAAAUGCCGGCGCCGGGGCCACGUCCACGCUGUUCGACGACCUCGCCGGCUUGUCCUUGGCCACGUUCACCCGUGUCAUUGCAGCCAUGAGGGAGCGGGGCGUCGGCCCUGAGGUCCUCGAAGGGGCUCUCAUCGCCUACGCCAAGCGAUCCAUCCCUGGGCUGUCACGCUCCGACCGGCACACUGGCGGUGGCGGCGCCGCCGCGGCUGCCGCCCCGCGGUCGGCGGAUGGCGACCAGAAGGCGCUUCUCGAGACCGUCAUUGUCAACCUCCCCGAGGAGACCAUCAAGAGCAGUGCCCACACCGGCACGGCAGUGGGCGCCACCACCGCGCGCGUCCUGUUCGGCCUCCUGCGCACGGCAAACAUUCUCCAGGCAUCAGAGGCUUCCCGUGACAUGCUAGAGCGGCGCGUGGCCUCCAGGCUACCCGACGCGGCCGUCGACGACCUGCUCAUCCCGAGCUACUCGUACCUCGUGGAGACGCUCUACGACGUGGACUGCGUGGAGCGCAUCGUGCGGCACUUCCUCGAGGGCCGAGGCGGCGGCGUCGAGGAGGUCGACGAGGAGGGCAGCGAGGCGGAGACGCCGGGCAGAGAGGCCAGCCGACGGGCCAUGCUGGCCGUGGGCAGGCUGAUGGACGCCUACCUGGGGGAGAUCGCCACGGACGCCAACCUGAAGACGGACAAGUUCUGCGACCUCGCCUGGGCAUUGCCGGACGGCGCCCGCGUCUACGACGAUGGCCUUUACCGUGCCGUCGACAUCUACAUCAAGGCACAUCCAGCGCUGAGGGAGGAGGAGAAGGAGAAGGUGAGCGGCGUGGUGGACGGGCGCAAGCUGACGCUGGAAGCGUGCACGCACGCGGCGCAGAACGAGCGGCUGCCCCUGCGGACGGUGGUGCAGGUGCUUUUCUUCGAGCAGCUCCAGCUGCGUCGGGCCAUCGCCCGGACGAUCGUGGCGAAUGAAGGCGGUGCGGCAGGCCAAGGAGAGGAAGAAGGCGAGAGCGACGGUGGCCGGACGUGGCGAGUGGCGACGAGGGGGAACCAAAUGCUCAGGCUGGACAUGGACAGCAUGCGGAACCGGGUGCAGGAGCUGGAGCGCGAGUGCACCACCAUGAGGAAAGCCAUCCAGAAGAUAGACCGCCGAGGCGGCGCUGCUGGGGAUAGAGGAGCGGCGGCGGCACCGGCCGCGGAGGGCAGGUGGGGCUCAAUGGUGACCAAGAGGUUCGGAUGCAAGUUCCCGGCGCAGGUCUGCCAGUCACAGCCGCGGUCCGUGGUGGCGCGGCCUCGCCGGGCACGGAUUGAGCAGAGCCCCUGA